rnacentral:rRNA from 1 species
GGCUCAGAAUGAACGCUAGCGGCAGGCCUAACACAUGCAAGUCGAACGGUAACAGGGAUUGCUUGCAAUCCGCUGACGAGUGGCGCACGGGUGCGUAACGCGUAUAGAACCUACCCUUUACAGGGGGAUAGCCCGGAGAAAUCCGGAUUAAUACCCCGUAGUACUGAUUUAUGGCAUCAUAUGAUCAGUUAAAGCUUCGGCGGUAGAGGAUGGCUAUGCGUCCUAUUAGUUAGUAGGUGAGGUAACGGCUCACCUAGACAGCGAUAGGUAGGGGCCCUGAGAGGGGGAUCCCCCACACUGGUACUGAGACACGGACCAGACUCCUACGGGAGGCAGCAGUGAGGAAUAUUGGACAAUGGGUGAGAGCCUGAUCCAGCCAAGCCGCGUGCAGGAAGACAGCCCUACGGGUUGUAAACUGCUUUUAUACGGGAAGAAUAAGGGGCACGUGUGCCCUGAUGACGGUACCGUAAGAAUAAGGACCGGCUAACUCCGUGCCAGCAGCCGCGGUAAUACGGAGGGUCCGAGCGUUAUCCGGAAUUAUUGGGCUUAAAGGGUCCGCAGGCGGGCCAGUAAGUCAGAGGUGAAAGUUUGCGGCUCAACCGUAAAAUUGCCUUUGAUACUGCUGGUCUUGAGUUGUAGUGAAGUGGCUGGAAUAUGUGGUGUAGCGGUGAAAUGCAUAGAUAUCACAUAGAACACCGAUUGCGAAGGCAGGUCACUAACUACAUACUGACGCUGAUGGACGAAAGCGUGGGGAGCGAAC